rnacentral:rRNA from 1 species
AUUGAACGCUGGCGGCAGGCCUAACACAUGCAAGUCGAACGAGUGGCGGACUGGUGAGUAAUGUCUGGGAACCUGCCCGAUGGAGGGGGAUAACUACUGGAACCCGUAGCUAAUACCGCAUACCAUCGGAUCUGCCCAGAUGGGAUUAGCUAGUAGGUGGGGUAACGGCUCACCUAGGCGACGAUCCCUAGCUGUCCUGAGAGGAUGACCAGCCACACUGGAACUGAGACACGGGCCAGACUCCUACGGGAGGCAGCAGUGGGGAAUAUUGCACAAUGGGCGCAAGCCUGAUGCAGCCAUGCCGCGUGUAUGAAGAAGGCUUUCGGGUUGUAAAGUACUGUCAGCGAGGAGGCGUUACUCGCCGAAGAAGCACCGGCUAACUCCGUGCCAGCAGCCGCGGUAAUAC